GAUGAACGCUGGCGGCGUGCUUAACACAUGCAAGUCGAACGGGAAUUACUUUAUUGAAACUUCGGUCGAUUUAAUUUAAUUCUAGUGGCGGACGGGUGAGUAACGCGUGGGUAACCUGCCUUAUACAGGGGGAUAACAGUCAGAAAUGGCUGCUAAUACCGCAUAAGCGCACAGAGCUGCAUGGCUCAGUGUGAAAAACUCCGGUGGUAUAAGAUGGACCCGCGUUGGAUUAGCUAGUUGGUGGGGUAACGGCCCACCAAGGCGACGAUCCAUGGCCGGCCUGAGGGGGUGAACGGCCACAUUGGGACUGAGGCACGGCCCAGACUCCUACGGGAGGCAGCAGUGGGGAAUAUUGCACAAUGGGGGAAACCCUGAUGCAGCGACGCCGCGUGGAGGAAGAAGUAUCUCGGUAUGAAAACUUCUAUCAGCAGGGAAGAUAAUGACGGUACCUGACUAAGAAGCCCCGGCUAACUACGUGCCAGCCGCCGCGGUAA
rnacentral:rRNA from 1 species